rnacentral:rRNA from 1 species
GAUGAACGCUAGCGGCAGGCUUAAUACAUGCAAGUCGUGGGGCAGCAUGAGUAGCAAUACUUGAUGGCGACCGGCAAACGGGUGAGGAACACGUACACAACCUUCCUUCAAGCGGGGAAUAGCCCAGAGAAAUUUGGAUUAACACCCCAUAAUAUAUUUGAUAAGGCAUCUUAUUAAUAUUAAAGCUUCGGCACUUGAUGAUGGGUGUGCGGCUGAUUAGAUAGUUGGCGGGGUAACGGCCCACCAAGUCUACGAUCAGUAGCUGAUGUGAGAGCAUGAUCAGCCACACGGGCACCGAGACACGGGCCCGACUCCUACGGGAGGCAGCAGUAAGGAAUAUUGGACAAUGGACGAAAGUCUGAUCCAGCCAUGCCGCGUGAAGGAUUAAGGUCCUCUGGAUUGUAAACUUCUUUUAUAUGGGACGAAAAAAGGGCAUUCUUGUUCACUUGACGGUACCAUAUGAAUAAGCACCGGCUAACUCCGUGCCAGCA